rnacentral:rRNA from 1 species
GUGAGGGAAAGGCGAAAAGAACCCCGGCGAGGGGAGUGAAAAAGAACCUGAAACCGUGUACGUACAAGCAGUGGGAGCACGCUUAGGCGUGUGACUGCGUACCUUUUGUAUAAUGGGUCAGCGACUUAUAUUCUGUAGCAAGGUUAACCGAAUAGGGGAGCCGAAGGGAAACCGAGUCUUAACUGGGCGUUAAGUUGCAGGGUAUAGACCCGAAACCCGGUGAUCUAGCCAUGGGCAGGUUGAAGGUUGGGUAACACUAACUGGAGGACCGAACCGACUAAUGUUGAAAAAUUAGCGGAUGACUUGUGGCUGGGGGUGAAAGGCCAAUCAAACCGGGAGAUAGCUGGUUCUCCCCGAAAGCUAUUUAGGUAGCGCCUCGUGAAUUCAUCUCCGGGGGUAGAGCACUGUUUCGGCAAGGGGGUCAUCCCGA